GCCUUCGUGGUGUAGUGGUAAACACGCUGGGAGGGUAUUCCAGAGGUCCGUGGUUCGAGUUUCGGCGAAGACG
rnacentral:tRNA from 1 species